rnacentral:rRNA from 1 species
UACGUAGGGGGCAAGCGUUGUCCGGAUUUAUUGGGCGUAAAGAGCGUGUAGGCGGCCAUACAGGUCCGUUGUGAAAACUGGAGGCUUAACCUCCAGACGUCGAUGGAAACCGUAUGACUAGAGUCCGGAAGAGGAGAGUGGAAUUCCUGGUGUAGCGGUGAAAUGCGCAGAUAUCAGGAAGAACACCCGUGGCGAAGGCGGCUCUCUGGGACGGUACUGACGCUGAGACGCGAAAGCGUGGGGAGCGAACAGG